rnacentral:rRNA from 1 species
CCUGGCUCAGGAUGAACGCUAGCGGCGUGCCUAACACAUGCAAGUCGAACGUGAGAGGGUACUGUAUCCUUGAAAGUGGCGGACGGGUGAGUAAGACGUAGGUGACCUGCCUUGAAGUGGGGGAUAACCAUUGGAAACGAUGGCUAAUACCGCAUGGGCUGGUGAUGAUGGGAAUCAUUAUCAGCAAAGCUUUAGUGCUUUGAGAGGGGCCUACGGCCGAUUAGCUAGUUGGUGAGGUAACGGCUCACCAAGGCGAUGAUCGGUAGCUGGUCUGAGAGGACGAUCAGCCACACGGGAACUGAGACACGGUCCCGACUCCUACGGGGGCAGCAGUGAGGAAUAUUCGGCAAUGGGGGCAACCCUGACCGAGCAACGCCGCGUGGAGGAUGACGGUUUUCGGAUUGUAAACUCCUUUUCUCAGGGAAGAGCGAGGACGGUACCUGAGGAAUAAGUCACGGCUAACUACGUGCCAGCAGCCGCGUAAU